AAUCAACGCUGGCGGCGUGCCUAACACAUGCAAGUCGAACGAGAAAGUGGAGCAAUCCAUGAGUAAAGUGGCGCACGGGUGAGUAACACGUGACUACCUACCCUUGAGUGGGGGAUAACCUAGGGAAACCUGGGCUAAUACCGCAUAAAACCCGCAGGUCAAACUGGGGGUCAAAGGAGCAAUUCGCUUAAGGAGGGGGUCGCGGCCGAUUAGUUAGUUGGCGGGGUAAUGGCCCACCAAGACGAUGAUCGGUAUCCGGCCUGAGAGGGCGCACGGACACACUGGAACUGAAACACGGUCCAGACUCCUACGGGAGGCAGCAGUGGGGAAUUUUGCGCAAUGGGGGAAACCCUGACGCAGCAACGCGCGUGGAGGAUGAAGUCCCUUGGGACGUAAACUCCUUUUCGAUC
rnacentral:rRNA from 1 species